GAAAGAAAUGUCUAGAAAAAGGAAACAUCAACAAAUGUCGGAAGUGAAUCUCGAACUCGAAGACGAUUUUGGUAUGGACUAUGAAGAAGAUAUUGGUGACAGUGAGCCUGAAGUAGCGGAAACCAAUGUGAAAAAAAAUACAAAACAAACUGCUUCAACUUGUAUUAACAGGGGAAGAAAACAUUUUCACACCGCGAUUGCUUUCAGCACUUGAUAGCGCCAAAGUAAGCGAUGGAAAGGCGAUGCACAUUCUGAUGGCGACUGCAGAAGCAUUGGGCCAUUGCACUAGCGACUUGGUAGUCAAUCGUUCUACUCUCCAUAGACUGAGGGAAGAGCAUCGCAGAAAAGAAACACAGAGGAUUCAAGAGAGUUUUAUUGACAAACUAAGUGAUACACAAGCAAUGGUCGUCCACUGGGAUGGUAAAGUAUUGCCAGAUCUAAUUGGAAAAAUAAAAGUUGAGCGAAUUGCAGUGCUUGUUAGUUAUAAUGGCGAAU